CUCCUACGGGGGGCAGCAGUGAGGAAUAUUGGUCAAUGGCCGGAAGGCUGAACCAGCCAAGCCGCGUGAAGGACGAAGGUGCCAAGCAUUGUAAACCUCUUUUGUCGGGGAGCAAAAGACGCCACGCGUGGCGUUCCGAGAGUACCCGAAGAAAAAGCAUCGGCUAACUCCGUGCCAGCAGCCGCGGUAAUACGGAGGAUGCGAGCGUUAUCCGGAUUUAUUGGGUUUAAAGGGUGCGCAGGCGGAAGAUCAAGUCAGCGGUAAAAUUGAGAGGCUCAACCUCUUCGAGCCGUUGAAACUGGUUU
rnacentral:rRNA from 1 species